rnacentral:rRNA from 1 species
CCAGACUCCUACGGGAGGCAGCAGUGGGGAAUUUUGGACAAUGGGCGCAAGCCUGAUCCAGCUAUUCCGCGUGUGGGAUGACGGCCCUCGGGUUGUAAACCACUUUAGUAGAGAACGAAAAGGAGCUAUCGAAUAAAUAGCUCUGCUGACGGUACUCUAAGAAUAAGCACCGGCUAACUACGUGCCAGCAGCCGCGGUAAUACGUAGGGUGCGAGCGUUAUCCGGAUUCAUUGGGCGUAAAGCGCGCGUAGGCGGCUGCCUAAGCGGAACCUCUAACCCCGGGGCUCAACCUCGGGCCGGGUUCCGAACUGGGCGGCUCGAGUGCGGUAGAGGAGAGCGGAAUUCCCGGUGUAGCGGUGGAAUGCGCAGAUAUCGGGAAGAACACCGAUGGCGAAGGCAGCUCUCUGGGCCGGCACUGACGCUGAGGCGCGAAAGCUGGGGGAGCGAACAGGAUUAGAUACCCGGGUAGA